GGGAGAAGCGCGGCGGGCUGGGGUCGAACCUGAUGCGGUGCGCAGUGUUGCGGGGUCCUGAAUCUUUUGCUGCCCUUUCUCCAGAAGCUGAAGGUAGUUUAUUCCUUAUGAAUUGAACUCAGGACCUUGUGCUGCUGGGCAGGUGCUGUGCUGCUGAGCUGUUUCCGUGGCCCCACAUCCAGCAGUUUGUGUUUGUGCCCUCUGUUCUAUUCUCUUGGGUCUUGCUAUGUCAUUCAGACUGGCCUGGAACUCUCGAUGGAGCCCGGGCUGGCCUUACAAGUGCUCGGAUUCGAGGUGUGCACCCCCACCCCAGAGGUUAAAUUCCUUCUUUCAGGGGACCUUCACACUCAAUCUGGUGAAAGGCCUGAGAAUAUUGUGUGACAGAGACACAGUCCCUUUCAACUCUGCAGAGGAGGAAAGCGGUGAAGAGAAAGAGAAGUAAGCAGGCCAAGGGAAC